GGCAUUCCUGUUCCUUCUUCCACAGUUCCACCACGAGAGAGGUUCCGCCGCCGCCGUGUCCAUCCCAACUCCGGCGCCACGACGGUGGACAACGGCUCCUCGGCCUCCAUCCUCACCAUCGCCGCGGAGUAUCUCGGCCUCUCCAUCCCCAUUCCCAUCCCGACUCCGCCGUCUGCGCCGCGGUCGGCGUCCGGGUCGUCGUGGCGGAGGAUCUCGGCCUCUCCAUCCCCAUUACCGUCCCGACUCCGCCGUCUGCGCCGCGGGCGGCGUCCGGGUCGUCGUGGCGGAGGAUCUCGGCCUCUCCAUCCCAUUCCCAUCCCGACUCCGCUGUCUGCGCCGCGGUCGGCGUCCGGGUCGGCCUCCCUCAAUAAUAUAUCUUACUUUUGCUCAGGGAGCUUUCAACCAUUUUUGGUGUAUGUUUAUGCAGGAAGCCUCCCAUUUCUUAUCCCAUCGUCACCAUUCUACAUUUUUCAUGGUUCUCUGGAAUAAAUCACAUGCUGAUUUAGAAAAUAACAUUCUUAUGACAGGGUCACCUUGAUGAGCAAUUUCGUCAUGUGGAGGACUUGCAGGAAGAAGCUAGUCCUAAUUUUGUGGAAGAAGUUGAUGUGUUGUUUUUCAAAGAUUCAGGCAGGCUAAUAUCAAACCUUGAGCAAGCUUUGGAGAAGUACCCAGAGAUUUCAAUAGGUGGGAUGCAUACAUGCAGCAACUGAAAGGCAGCUGUUCCAGCAUUGGUGCUUCUAGGAUGAAGAGUGAAUGCAUGUCAUUCAAAGAUAACUGUGGGAAAGGAAAUGUUGAAGGUAUCUUUACUACUAUCUGCCGGAAACUGAAAAGCAUGAGAGGAUCUGAUGCUACUGGAAUAGGCGCUUUUGAUCUUUAUAUAUUACAGAACAUAAAGAAGAUCAGCAAAGGAUGAAAAGCUGACAUAAAAUAUUUGCUGUAUUUCAGAGCAUGCUGAAGCAAGAUUAUGGAUGGCACUAAUUUCUACCCUGACGAUGACGAAGACCUGAGCCGCAAGCAUAAGUUUAAGACCUGGCAUGGCAAGAUCGACGGCAUAGGUCCCGGUCUUUAUGGCGAGGCAUGAUCGAAAUUUGCUAUGAUCCUUUUCUCUGGUGUUUACUUUAGUUUUACAAUGUUCCGAACUAGAGUUUCAUACUACAAAGUCUUUACUUUAGUUUAUAAUGUUUCGAACAGAGUUUGUCAUUUUGUCUGAUCGAGAAAUCUGGCGUGUUAUAAUCUUUAUCUUGUAUGAUUCAAAAUACUCUUUAUGCUA